GCCACCUGGCCACCUGGCCAGGGCCGACAUUAGCUCGCGGGACUCCAGAACAGGGGCGGAGCCAGAAGGCCGGGGCGGGGCCUAGAGUAUUGUUCUGGACCCGGGCUGGAGUGGGGAGUAUGCGUAGAGAGGGAACUUUAGGAGGUCGAUUAGAGGCGGCCUCAGGUGACGCAGGGACCUAACACGAGGCUGCUUCGGUUUGCUGUCCACCCAACUGGCCAGUUCGUCCAGAUUCCAGCACCAAAACCUGCACAUUCGCCUUUGAACCACUUCUGAGACUGGCUCCAUACCUGUACGAAGCGGGAACCACACGUCUCACACUUAUAGGGUUUCUCUCCCGAAUGGAUGCGGCUAUGCGUUUUCAGCACUCUGAAUGACCGCUAACCUGAGAGGCCCUGUCGAGCUCUAGGCUGACCACUCAGCCCUGGACUGGGGUGAGCCAGAAGUUUCCAAACACUGCUGCUCGUUGGAAGCUUUAAAAAAUACUGAUGCCUUCCCAAUGUGCCAAAGUUGCGGGUUUGAUUCCCAGUUGGGGCACAUACAAGAACCAACCAAUAAAUACAUAAAUAAGUACAACAAA